GUCUGAGUGUCUGUCUCUAGUGUCUGUCUGUCUCUAGUGUCUGUCUGUCUGUCUGUCUGUCUGUCUGUCUGUCUGUCUGUCUCUAGCGUCUGUCUCUAGCGUAUGUCUGUCUCUAGCGUAUGUCUGUCUGUCUCGUAUGUCUGUCUCUAGCGUAUGUCUGUCUCUAGCGUAUGUCUGUCUCUAGCGUAUGUCUGUCUGUCUGUCUCUAGCGUAUGUCUGUCUCUAGCGUAUGUCUGUCUCUAGCGUAUGUCUGUCUGUCUCGUAUGUCUGUCUGUCUGUCUCUAGCGUCUGUCUCUAGUGUCUGUCUCUAGCGUCUGUCUCUAGUGUCUGUCUGUCUGUCUCUAGCUUCUGUCUGUCUCCAGUGUCUGUCUGUCUGUCUGUCUGUCUGUCUGUCUCUAGUGUCUG